GCAUAAUCACGAUUCGACUCGAUUUUUUAUCACCUCUAAUAGUCUAAUUUGCUAAUUUACAUUCCUAUGCUCUAUGCAGAUGAAGCCCAUUUCGACCGUACAAAUUUCUAUCGCAGUUGAUUCUUCAAUUAAAAUUACUUUAAUACCCCUGAAAACAAUCACUAGCUCAUUUACUACAAAUACCCAACUAAAAACAGCAUUUGCGGUAUCAUUUCUCUUUCUGACUUUAUAAGAGUUGCCUUAAAAGGUAAUGAUCCGCUACACCAGUGGUGUAUGGUGGUACUCCUGCUUUCGAGCUCGGUCGAUCACAGCCGUCUGAUUUAGGAUGAUCUUAUUCGGCUGCCGUCCGAUCGUAUCAUUCUUCGAUAGUUGAUCAUGUUUUUGGUCGUAGAAAUGAUGUUGAUGAUGAUUGUGUUGGGACUAGAUGGGCUGUUCCGUUCUCACUGCCUGGUCUUAUGGAUACUGCCGUACUGGAAUUACAGGCAUCAGGUAAUUUUUUGUCGUUUCCAAAACUUAUUUUGAUUUGUCUAAACUUGUUAACCAUUAUUUAUACAUACAAAGUAAUUAUUUAUAAUAAUUUCCUAAUAAUCAUAGUUGUAGAUUAGACUUGAAUAUGAGUUGUUAAAAUUAUAGAGCAUACGCAAUAUGUGCACAAUAUGCUUGGGAUUUUGAAGUAAAUUAUAAGCUUUUAAUAAAUAUAAAUAAGUUUUUAGUAAACUACUUGAAGUAAAGGACAAUUUUGCAAUGGUUACACUAAUUUUGUAGCCAUUUUAACUUUAUAAUCAUAAUCAUGACCAUUCAUUUUUAAUACUAAAUCCACACCAUUUACUAAGUUGACCAAAAAAAUUAAGUUGACCAUAAAAAUUAAGGUACAAUAUUCAAAAUAUCUAACGGUCAACUUAUUAGAGUUAUAAAUGAGUUGAACUAAACAAGAACUUAAAGGGGACAUACGGGUACCUUAUGAAAUUAUGGACCUUAAUGUCUUGGAUUUUGGAUAUCUAACUACAUCAAUAACCUAUAAAUAUGAAAUAAUUAGACUUUAGAAUAUCCUUGUUUAAAUUUUUUUUUUUUUUUUUUUUUUUUGGUUUGUUUGGGGUAGUUAAGGUAGUUGACUUAGUUAUUAGACCUGACUCGCUCCUCCAAGUUCGAUCCCCAAACCAAACCCUUGGAGGGGAGGGAUGACUAUGUAUUCUUCUCCGUCAAAGAGCUCUUAGAGGGAUGAUUCUGAUCCAAUGACCUUGAAGUCAAGAGGCCAAACCUUAAACACUAGGUCAAGAUUAGCUUCUGGUACUGCUUUUGGGUUAAUGUAUACAACCACUAAUAUUUUAGCAGUUUUAUACUAUGUAUGUAUGUAGUGCUAAUUUAUUAAUUGUUUGUAAUGAGUAGUCCAGUAUUGGACUACAUAGCAUUAUUCCAUUAUUAAUUAGUAGUGUGAAAAAGAGAAUUAUCCAUGUAGCUAGGUGUUAGAGGAAUUUGAAACCUUGAAGUUUUUGGUUUCAGUAGGCUUUGCCAAUUGAACUCCCAUCAAAAGUUUGCAUUUUCUCGAGGCUCCAAUGCAUAUUGUAUAAGCCCCUGAAAUUUUUUACAAUAACAAAAGAGUAAUGCAAUGCUCAACUUGGAACUUUGUAAAACUACAAUAUGCUAGCCUUAGUUUCUUUAAUGCUCCUAUUUAUAGUUUGCUCAACCCUAUUUUUAUUAUAUGCUCAGUUUGAUCUUACAUUCGUUUCGAUGUCCUAUACAGUCCGAUGUUUGUCAUGCUUACCAAGUGCUUGUUGUGGUAGGAUUAUACUGGGGAAGACGUGAUUGUGAACAAUUUUUAAGCAGCUACACUCGGUCCGAAACUUCUAGUGUAGUCGUCGGCUACUAUCCAUUAUAUAUUAACUUGUUAAAAUCCAUAUCUUUGAUGUGUCAUGUGUUUACAUAAAUCUUAGCCAUGCAUCCAUCUAUUAAUUUUUAAAAAAUGAUAAAUCUUGCUUUUAUUUAUAAUUCAAUAAAAUCAUGUCUGUUUUAGGGUUUAUAUUACAAAAAUGAUCAUUACUAAAAUUUUGAUUAGUAAUAUAAUUUAUUUAUUUUUGUAAUAAUCAUUAGUAAUAUAAUUUUUUUUAAUAUUAGCCUUUAAUUCAACUUUAUUGAAUAAAAUGUUUUGUUUUAUAGUAAUUGUCAGAUAAUAUAAACUCCUUCAUUAGAGUGAUUUCCAUUAAUCAAUAUUUAUAUGAGAGUCAUAAUCAUGCUAGAUAACUAACAAGAUAUGUAAAGAUAUCAUAAAGAUAUUCUUCUACAAGAUAUAUCCUAAACCUAGGAUGAGAAUAUUUUAUGAAUAUUCUCUAUUAGUAAUGAUGAUUUUGGUGUGUUUGAUGCGGUUUUUUUUUUUUUUCACAUGAGGUUAAAUAACAAAAUAAGUAAAACUAAACAAUAUUAAAGGACGAUAAGCUAUAAUUUGCCAUGGUAGCGGGGAGAUGAGCCUUGUCCACUUGGUCUCUCUGAAACUUGUGGAUGCUACACCUUUGCGGAGUAUUUUUUAUCACCUCUAUUAUAAAACCAUAAUAAAUUUUUGGGUAUUUUCAUUUUUACCACCUUCAAAUAAUGACUUUGUCGAAUUUACCACCUCCAAAAAAAAACAUUUACUUUACCACCUCAUAAAAAAAUUAAACAUCAGUUUUACCACCUCAUCUGAGCUCAGGUGACGGAAAACGCUUGUGGGGCCCAGUUAACUGUCACUUCCCUCCAAUUUAAUUCUUUUAAAAUCGAUUUCCCUCUGUCUCCUCCUUUUCUCACCUUCCACCUUCCAUAAUCAAUGUCUCACCAAAUUUCUCACUUCCUCAUCAAUUUUCGUCUCUCUUUCCUUUGAUUUUUCUUGAUUCUCACUGUAACUGCUUCUCUCUCCUUUGAAUUUUCUCUUUCUCUCUGUAAAAACUGAAACCCUAGAUCAAUUUGGGUGGUUGAAAUCGAGCUGGAACCACAAAAUUGCAACACAUCAGCUUCUCUUGUCAUCUUCCACAGGGUGAGGGGACCAAAAGCUUGGUAAUUUGCUGACAGAAAUCGAGAUUCCUGACUACAAGAGGCUGCACUGAAGUUGCCACAAUAUCAGCCUCCAACAACAGCACAGGCUGGGUCAAGUAAUGUUGCACCUGCAACUGCUGUGUCAAGCCAGCCUGCAACAAGAACAGAGCCUUUGCCAACUCAGCCUGUUACCAGGAGCAACAGGAGCCUGAGUCAGCCCACAAGAGUGCCAACAACUACUCCUCCCAAAGUCAAAAUACAGACCAGGUCCAAGCUUCAUGUAAUGACAAGCAAGAAGGACAAGGAUCUCAAUCAACUUUGACCCUAGGUCUACUCAUUAGUAUUUUGUAAUAGACAACCAAGUUUAUUUGGUAGUUGAACAAUGAUAGUUGAACAAUGAUUUUGCACAAAGGUGCCUUAACUUUUGUCUCAGCCAAUGUAAAACAAUUUCAAACAUUGUGUUGCAAGUACUAAUACGAAUUGUGAUAUGUUUCUACCAAAAAGUUCCAUUUCUCA